rnacentral:rRNA from 1 species
GACGAACGCUGGCGGCGUGCUUAACACAUGCAAGUCGAACGGACAGGCCCUGCUUUUGUUGGGUACUCGAGUGGCUAACGGUUGAGUAACACGUGAGUAACCUUCCCUUAACUUUGGGAUAACUUCAGAAAACUGGGGCAAAUACCGGCUAGGAGCUCCUGAUGCAUAUUGGUGGUUGGAAAGUUUCGGAGGUUGGGGAUUGACUCGCGGCUUAUCAGCCUGUUGGUGGGGUAGUGGCUUACCAAGGCAUGGGCGGGUAGCCGGCCUGAGAGGGUGACCCGCCACAGUGGGACUGAGAUACGGGCAGUACGCCUACGGGAGGCAGCAGUGGGGAAUAGUGCAAACAGGGCGGAAGCCGGAAGCAGGAACGCCGCGUGGGGGAGGACGGCCGUCGGGUUGGAAACCGUGUUCGCCUGUGACGAAGCGUGAGUGACGGUAAUUGGUAAAGAAGCACCGGCUAACUACGUG